GUUUCUAUAGUUGAAGGACAACAGUGGUUUUUCAGAUCACAGGUUUUGGUUAAAAUCCUGAUGGGAAUU
rnacentral:tRNA from 1 species